GAUGAAGAACGUAGCGAAAUGCGAUAAGUAAUGUGAAUUGCAGAGUUUUGUGAAUCAUCGAAUCUUUGAACGCACAUUGCGCCCCUCGGUAUUCCGACGGGCAUGCCUGUCCGAGCGUCGUUUGCAACCCAUCGAGUAACACUUCUCGGUCUUGGGCGCCGUCCGCCCCCUCGGGGGAUCGGACGGGCCCCAAAGCCCUCGGCGGCCCCGCGUGCCCCGCCGGAGCGUCUUCGAAAGCAAUCGCUCCGGCGCGUCGCGCCCCGGGACCAAGCCGGCACCGCGGCCCCCCCAAAGGGGUCGCACCCCCAACACCAAACGUCUGACCUCGGAUCAGGUAGGGCUACCCGCUGAACUUAAGCAUAUCAAUAAGCGGAGGA
rnacentral:misc_RNA from 1 species